GAAGGCUUGACCUCAAAUCACGUAGGACUACCCGCUGA
rnacentral:rRNA from 1 species